rnacentral:rRNA from 1 species
UGAACGCUGGCGGCGUGCCUAACACAUGCAAGUCGAACGCGAAAGUUUUCUUCGGAAAGCGAGUAGAGUGGCAGACGGGUGAGUAAUGCAUAGGUAAUCUACCUUUGAGUGGGGGACAACUAGUCGAAAGGCUAGCUAAUCCCGCAUAAUAUUUCAAUUCAUAAGAAUUGGACUCAAAGAGGGGGAUCCUUCGGGACCUCUUGCUUGAAGAUGAACUUAUGUCCUAUUAGCUAGUUGGUGGGGUAAUGGCCUACCAAGGCGAUGAUGGGUAGCCGAGCUGAGAGGCUGAUCGGCCACACUGGAACUGACACACGGUCCAGACUCCUACGGGAGGCAGCAGUGGGGAAUUUUGCGCAAUGGGCGAAAGCCUGACGCAGCGACGCCGCGUGAGGGAUGACGGUUCUCGUAAUUGUAAACCUCUGUCAGGAAGGAUUAAAUGCAUAUAUAUUAAUACUAUAUAUGCUUGACUUAACUUCCAGAGGAAGCCCCGGCUAACUAC